rnacentral:rRNA from 1 species
GACGAACGCUGGCGGCGUGCUUAACACAUGCAAGUCGAACGGAAAGGCCCUGCUUUUGUGUGGUUCUCGAUUGCCGAACGCGUGAGUAACACGUGUGUAUCCUGCCCUUGACUUUGGGAUAACUUCACGAAACUCGGGCUAAUACAGGAUAGGAUCUCCUGCUGCAUGGUGGGGGUUGGAAAGUUUCGGCGGUUGGGGAUGGACUAGCGGCUUCUCAGCUUGUUGGUGGGGUAGUGGCUUACCAAGGCUUUGACGGGUAGCCGGCCUGGGAGGGGUAACGGCCACAUUGGGACUGAGAUACGGCCCAGACUCCAACAGGAGGCAGCAGUGGAGAAUAUUGCACAAUGAGAGGAAGCCGGAUGCAGCGACGCCGCGUUCGUGAAGACGGCCUUCUGGUUGUAAACCGCUUUCGCCUGUGACGAAGCGUGAGUGACGGUAAUGGGUAAAGAAGCACCGGCUAACUACGUG